rnacentral:rRNA from 1 species
AGAAUCAACGCUGGCGGCGUGCCUAACACAUGCAAGUCGCACGAGAAAGGGGCUUCGGCCCUGAGUAAAGUGGCGCACGGGUGAGUAACACGUGAAUGAUCUACCUCCGAGUGGGGAAUAACCAAAAAGAAAUUUUGGCUAAUACCGCAUAACACUUACGAGUCAAAGCAGCAAUGCGCUUGGAGAGGAGUUCGCGGCAGAUUAGCUAGUUGGCGGGGUAAUGGCCCACCAAGGCGAUGAUCUGUA